rnacentral:lncRNA from 1 species
GGAAACUAAGGCUUAGAGAAGGAGUGUACCAUCUUUUGGCUUCCCUGGGCCAUACUGGAAGAAAAAUUGUCGUGGGCCACAGAUAAAAAUAAAAUACACUAACAACAGCUGAUGAGCUAAAAAAAAAAAAAAUCGCAAAAAAAAAUCAACGUUUUAAGAAAAUUUAUGAAUUUGGGUCGGGCUGCAUUCAAAGCCGUCCUGGGCCAUGGGUUGGAUAAGCUAGGCUUAGAGAAUAUAACAGAGUCUCAUAGCUAUCCAGUAUAGAGGCAAGACUUGAACCCAAGAUUUCUGAAUCCAAAGAUACAUGGUUUCCAGUGGAGACCAUGGAAAUCAACCUGAAAUCAGGCUGAGAGAGCCUCAUGCAACUCACCCUGCCCUUCCCCUUGGCCUCAUUCUGUGUAAGAGUCUCCAGACUUAAUGACACCAGUUCUUUGAUAGGCAUGGUGUCUUCCUUUGGACACAGGCAGAGUAUAAUAGAGCAAUACUUCUUAUUAAAUGAAGAAAUGGGUGAUAAACCAGAGCUAUGGCCUCUCAGGAUUGCCUUGCUGCCAAAGGCCUGGUCUCAUCUCUGAGUGGCCAUUGGGCCUACCAGGCAAUCAUCUUCUUUAAU